rnacentral:rRNA from 1 species
GACGAACGCUGGCGGCGUGCUUAACACAUGCAAGUCGAACGGAAAGGCCCUGCUUUUGUGGGGUGCUCGAGUGGCGAACGUGUGAGUAACCCGUGAGUAACCUGCCCUUUACUUUGGGAUAACUUCAGGAAACUGGGUCUAAUACCGGAUAGGAGCUCCUGCUGCAUGGUGGGGGUUGGAAAGUUUCGGCGGUUGGGGAUGGACUCGCGGCUUAUCAGCUUGUUGGUGGGGUAGUGGCUUACCAAGGCUUUGACGGGUAGCCGGCCUGAGAGGGUGACCGGCGACAUGGGGACUGAGAGACGGCCCAGACGCCUACGGGAGGCAGCAGUGGGGAAUAUUGCACAAUGGGCGGAAGCCUGAUGCAGCAACGCCGCGUGCGGGAUGACGGCCUUCGGGUUGUAAACCGCUUUCGCCUGUGACGAAGCGUGAGUGACGGUAAUGGGUAAAGAAGCACCGGCUAACUACGUG